rnacentral:rRNA from 1 species
UACGGAGGGGGCUAGCGUUGUUCGGAAUUACUGGGCGUAAAGCGCACGUAGGCGGCUUUGUAAGUUAGAGGUGAAAGCCCGGGGCUCAACUCCGGAAUUGACCUUUAAGACUGCAUCGCUAGAAUUGUGGAGAGGUAAGUGGGAAUUCCGGGUGUGAGCGGUGGAAGUGACGUAGAGAUCCGGAAGAACGACCGGAUGGCGAAGG